UACGGAGGGUGCAAACGUUGCUCGGAAUCAUUGGGCGUAAAGCGCACGUAGGCGGUCCAGCAAGUCGGGAGUGAAAUCCCUCGGCUCAACCGAGGAAGUGCUUUCGAAACUACUGGGCUUGAGUACUGGAGAGGGUUGCGGAAUUCCCGGUGUAGAGGUGAAAUUCGUAGAUAUCGGGAGGAACACCAGUGGCGAAGGCGGCAACCUGGACAGAUACUGACGCUGAUGUGCGAAAGCGUGGGGGAGCAAACAGG
rnacentral:rRNA from 1 species